rnacentral:rRNA from 1 species
GACGAACGCUGGCGGCGUGCUUAACACAUGCAAGUCGAACGGAAAGGCCCUGCUUUUGUGGGGUGCUCGAGUGGCGAACGGGUGAGUAACACGUGAGUAACCUGCCCUUGACUUUGGGAUAACUUCAGGAAACUGGGGCUAAUACCGGAUAGGAGCUCCUGCUGCAUGGUGGGGGUUGGAAAGUUUCGGCGGUUGGGGAUUGACUCGCGGCUUAUCAGCUUGUUGGUGGGGUAGUGGCUUACCAAGGCUUUGACGGGUUGCCGGCCUGAGAGGGUGACCGGCCACAUUGGGACUGAGAUACGGCCCAGACUCCUACGGGAGGCAGCAGUGGGGAAUAUUGCACAAUGGGCGGAAGCCUGAUGCAGCAACGCCGCGUGCGGGAUGACGGCCUUCGGGUUGUAAACCGCUUUCGCCUGUGACGAAGCGUGAGUGACGGUAAUGGGUAAAGAAGCACCGGCUAACUACGUG